GGGUCAAUGAUGAGAACUCAUAUGGUCUCGAAGACAGAUGAUGACCUAAAAAUUAUGCUCAAUAGGAUUACGCUGAGGCCC
rnacentral:snoRNA from 10 species